CCUACGGGAGGCAGCAGUGAGGAAUAUUGGUCAAUGGACGAGAGUCUGAACCAGCCAAGUAGCGUGAAGGAUGACUGCCCUAUGGGUUGUAAACUUCUUUUAUAAAGGAAUAAAACGAGGCACGUGUGCCUUUUUGCAUGUACUUUAUGAAUAAGGAUUGGCUAACUCAGUGCCAGCAGCCGCGGUAAUACGGAGGAUCCGAGCGUUAUCCGGAUUUAUUGGGUUUAAAGGGAGCGUAGAUGGGUUGUUAAGUCAGUUGUGAAAGUUUGCGGCUCAACCGUAAAAGUGCAAUUGAUACUGGCAGUCGUGAGUACAGUUGAGGUAGGCGGAAUUCGUGGUGUAGCGGUGAAAUGCUUAGAUAUCACGAAGAACCCCGAUUGCGAAGGCAGCUUACUAAACUGUGACUGACAUUGAUGCUCGAAAGUGUGGGUAUCAAACAGGAUUAGAUACCCCAGUAGUC
rnacentral:rRNA from 1 species